rnacentral:misc_RNA from 1 species
AAGUCGUAACAAGGUUUCCGUAGGUGAACCUGCGGAAGGAUCAUUAACACGUAUCCAACGAAACCCCGCCCGUGAAUAUUAAUCGUGCUCUUGCAUCCAGCAAUCUCUGGUAAAUCACGUCGAGCGGUUUGAUCCAGAGACCUCUGCGUUGUGGAUGACUGCUGACGCUAAAGGUGCAAUCGAGCGCUAGGAUCAGUGGUUUGGUUUCCCCUCAAACCACUGCAAUGAAUGACAGCGUCAUUUUUUUUGAAGUGUGAUGGGGAGGUCGCUUAACGCACGCUGUAGGCUCACGAGCCGGCGUCCAAAUCACCGGCCCCUAAAACCACAUGUCAGCGCCCUUCUGUCGUGGUUGGGCGUAAAAACGAACAACUGUUACAUGGAUAUCUUGGUUCUC